GGGGGUUUAGCUCAGCUGGGAGAGCACCUGCCUUGCACGCAGGGGGUCAAGAGUUCAAAUCUCUUAAUCUCCACCA
rnacentral:tRNA from 1 species